AUUUCACAAUAAUUUGAUUCAAAUAUUUGCCUCAUGCAACUGUUUCCUGGCAACCACUUCCCUAUGGGACAGCAGAUACAACCUAGUUGACUUGCCCCCUAUUCCCACCCCCACCAUAUGGCCUGUGCAGGUAUGCCACAGUGACACCCUCUCACAGCAUACCUGCAUGGAGCACCGACCUGCUUACUUUGAACCCGCCAAUAAGAAGUUAAUAUAGAAAACCUGCUUGGGUAACACCGUGGACCCCAAUAAAGGCUUUUACACUCAGGUCACUUGCCCUUGCUCUCUCUUGCUCCCCACUGUGGUUGAAUUUGUGUGUUCCAGAUGGCUCCCCACUUUCAUUGGCUCUGUGAGGCAUGCCACCCUCUUCUCUCUGUGAAAAAACGCACUGCUUAUUUUCUUCAAGUCAAAAUGCCUUAAAGGAGCAGUAUCUUGAAUGUGACGUGGCAGACUCAAGGGGAUGCUCUUCAACAUAAAGCAUCAGAAGCCUGAGUAACAUUUUCUGAUCUUGACUCUACGUGACAAGUCGAAAAGAAUUUUUUUCAAUUUAGUUUUUACCAAGUCAGAUUCUAUUUGACAAUAUGGCAGCACUACACAUGGAAAGUAACUUAUUACUUUGGGCAUCUAGUUUAAAUAGAGACAAUCCAUAAUGUGCAUGUGAAAAAAAAUGGCCACUGUUCUUGAAGCAUUGCCCUUGAGCAAGCAACAAGUUUAAAUCUGUCAGUGUGGAAGAAAUUGUUUUUUCUUAAUUGCUUAAUUGUUAACCCUAGGAGAAAAUGACAAUAAAAUUCUACUUCAAAAUGUUUAUGUUUUUGGAAUUACAGGUACAUGUAGAAACCAUAAGUGGAACACUGUAUUAACUGAAUAUCAUUGAGAAACUUCAAGCAAACAUGUUACUGAUAUAAAUUAAAGAAUAAUUGAAAAGGAAAAGACCUCCUUCCUUUUUUCCCCAAAAGGUAAAUGUGUUUUCUUAUAGCUUUAACUACUUGCUGUAAAAUUAAAUGCUUUUAAUUUCUGAUACAAGGGAGCAGAAUACGAUGUUAAUAUUUUCUGUAUGUCUUUUGAUAUUAAUAAUGCAUUGAAAAUAUCUGCAACAUUAAAAUUCUUUCUGUGGGCUUUUUGUGAAUGCUAUUAUGUCAAGCCAUUAAUUGUGCACUUUUCCAAAAGCAGGCAACCUAUCCUGCUAGCUCUUGAAUCAUAUUGUGAAAGCAUAAUUGUAUUCUGUGCAUUCUUGGUUGACAUUAAAAUGGUCUGUUAGUUGUGUCUAGCAGAAUGUCUUCCUUUCUGAAUUAUGUAUUUAGAUAAACUUAUCCAACAACUUCAGAGCAACAUUGUGUUCCUGUCCUCCCAUCUGUAUGUAAGAGUAAAAACUAAGAGGUAGGUUUACUAAUUGGUUAAAAUAUCUUCUUCUCCACAUGUCUUAAAAUAUGAAUAAAAACAUGUAUGAAAAGAACAUUUCACAAAUGACUAUUUCAUACUUAAAGGCAUAUUUGGAAAUCUUAGAUAGUCCAGCAAGGACAACUAUGUAACUGUUACUGAACAUUGGAGUAUAUAAUAGUGAAUUAUAGCUGUCCAAAUAUCACCUAUGUCUGACUAUUGAUCUUUUUAUCUGCCUCUAGUUCUCAAGACUUCAAUUCUUCUCAAUAGCAACAUAUUUUUCAAAUAAUUUAUCUGCAAAAAUUUCCAUGAAUUUUUAAAUUUUAUUAGAACCUAAUAAUUAUUACCUCUUUUGAAUUUUCUCAUAAGGCCUCUAUAAUAUGGCCUUUUCCCUGCUUCAAUUUAUUCCCUGG
rnacentral:lncRNA from 10 species